rnacentral:lncRNA from 1 species
CUCUGUCCAAAAAAAAAAAAAAAAAUAAAAGAACAGUCUAGUCAACUUUGGGAUAUAGCUAAAGCAGCACCCAGAGGAAAAUGUGUAGCCUUAGUUAUAAAUAAGUUAAGGGUUCAACUGAAGUCCCUAGAAACAACCUUGAAGUAAAACUAAAAGAAAAAGACAGGCAAGAAAAUGAUAAAUACAAGAGCAGAAAUUAACAAAAUAGAUAAUCAAUUGUUAUACUUGAGAUACUUGAGAAAUAGAUAAACAUGGUUUUGGACUUUCUUGUUUUCUUGGCAUAAAUAAUUUCUUUAAUAAUCACACCACAAGCAUGGUUAUUUGUUUAAUAGCUGUAUUCCCUGUAAGACCAUAUUCUUUGCUUGUUUUGUUCACCAUUUUAUCUCCACAGCCUGAACCUUGAUAGACAGAUGUUCAUUAAACAUUUGGAAAUGAAAUGAGUGAAAGGAAUCUUAGCCCUGCCAUUUACUCUGCACCAUUGAGCAAGUUAUUUACUGAAUCGGAGCCUCUCUUUCCUCAUCCGUCAAACAGAGAGAAGGAAGCCUCCAUCACGGGCUGCUGUGGGAACACGUUAAGCUUUUGUGCAAUUCCCAGGGUAAAUAGUCAAUCAAUGGAGAAAGGUGUAAUUAUGAGCCAUGGAAUUGGCUCUGACACUGGAGAAUGCCCUGCCUGCCCAGCAGCUCCACCUCCAUCAGGUCCCUGCAGUUUUCUGAAGGCACAAGAGGCAAGCUUGAGAGGAGCUGGAAAAUAUGGGAAAAGAGAAUCACAAGGAGGCUCAACGAGGUGGCCAGUGCCGGAGCACCUUUGGACCUAGUUCUCUAUAUUAAAAUUCUUUUCUUAAACCGCCUGGUUGGGAUCUGCUUUCUUGAUUAGAGACUGAAGUUUCUUCUCAGAGAAACCUUCCCUCACCAUCCUGGGAAAAGUAGCUCCAGGCUCUUUCCAUCGUCUUAUACCACUGGUACCCUUCUCAGCACUAACCAGUACCUGAAAUGGUGCUGGGGAAAACCAGUGAACAAAAUAGAAAAAUUCCCUGUUCUCACAGAAUGUACAUCCUAGUGAGUGGAAGGGCCGUCAGUAGACAAUAUACAUGAAUGACUUGUAUGACAACUACUGGAGGAAAAAGCACAGCAAAGAAGGGGUCCAAGGAGUGUCAGGACAGGCAAGGCUGCAAGUUUUAAUUCAGCAGUCAGAGAUGUCACUGCACACACUCCUUCUUUAGGAAAUAUUUAUGGAGUACUUACUAGGUGCUAGGUACUAGGAUUACAAAGAAGAACGAAAUAGACAAUAUUCUUGCUUUUGUGGAGUUUAUUAUCUGGUGGAACACAAGUGAUACAUAGGUAAAUAAUCAAAUAAAUAGAAAUUAUAGCUAUUGAUGAAAUAAAUCAAUAGGUGCUUUGAUAAAGAUAGCAGGAAACCUGGUGUUAAAUAGGAUGCUCUCUCUGAAGGGGUCCUCUGGGGCUUGGACCUGAAGCAUGGGAAAGAGCGAGUGGGACAGAGCACCCCAUGGAAACAAUCUGCUCACCUCUUGUCUCAUCCAUGUGACUCUGAGCUCCUUGAAGGAAGAGAUCAUGAAUUAUUCAUUCCCCAUUUCCAGCAUGGCACCAGGCCUGGCACAUUAGAGAUGCUCCACAAAUGUUUGUUUACCUGUUAGGUAGAAGAAAUCAAGAGUAAGAGCUGAAAAACAUUUGAAAAUUGCCGUUUGUUGGCUGGAAGAAACAAAGUUCAUCAUGCAGUUGGCUGACAUCUAUUCAACAAACACUAACCGUGCCUGGCAGUGGGUUACAGGUUGCGUGGAAGACCCCCUCUUUGAGGCGUUUUAAUCCGGACGGAGAGGCAGACUGGAGUUAUUCUCAUUCGAGGCAGAUCCAGGCCCGGGCAGUCCCAGCAAAGGGGUGGGUGUGUGGUCUGGCAGUGGGCCAGGGGGUGUGCUCCCAUCAAUGUUGCCCAGCCUGGAUGUGCCAUGCCCUGUGGAUGGAAAGGUGGAUGUGGUGUUUGAGCUGGCCUGGGUCCUCCCUGGCUCAGGGCCCUGGAGACAGAUCUGAGUAGUGACCAAACUUGAGGGAAGGGUCAGCUCCUGCUGCCAAUCACCUGGGCUUCUUGCUGACAGCAGGACACAGCCAACCUUGUUGAGAAGACAGCCACACAGAUGUCAUGGGGUGUCCAAAGACAGUGUGUAGCUCCUUCUAAGGCACCGGGGACACUCCUCUGGCCAUCCAGUGGCAGUGUUUAAAUGGCAGAAACAUUUGCUACCUUGUCUCAGGGAGCUUCGUAGGACUAACGGGUUGAUUUACACUCUGCAAGGGAGAAAAACGUCCUCCUCUGAGAUGUGUCAUCAAAACAGUGACAGCAUUGGAAAUUAACUGGGCAGGUCCAUGUUUCUUCAUUUCCUAGAGGUGUCCAAGUGACAUUUUCUGCCAGUUUGCUUCAUGCAGCCCUCCUCAGAUAAUCAGAAAUGUGUUUACGGGCUUGGGCGUUUGCGUCGUUUGACUAGUGCUUCACGAGGGAAGCCAGCAUGUAUGGGAGUAAGAAAAACAAAUGUUUAA